AUGUCAAGGGUUUCGAUUCUCAUCAAGGACCUGUUCAAAGGAAACCAAGUGUGGAAAAUGCAUAUUAAGGUUGUUGACUUGUGGGUUGUUAAGGAGAAAACUGACCAACAAUAUCUUGAAUUGGUCAUACAAGAUGGAAUUGACGAUCAAUUCACGUCACCACUAGGAGCUGGGACUUUAAAGAUUGGAUUGAACAACUAA